AUGCUCACUUCGGCAGCACAUAUACUAAAAUUGAAAUGAUACAGAGAAGAUUAACAUGGCCCCUGCACAAGGAUGACACACAAAUUCAUGAAGCAUUCCAUAAUUUU
ensembl:snRNA U6 U6 spliceosomal RNA